GACGAACGCUGGCGGCGUGCUUAACACAUGCAAGUCGAACGGAAAGGCCCUGCUUUUGUGGGGUGCUCGAGUGGCGAACGGGUGAGUAACACGUGAGUAACCUGCCCUUGACUAUGGGAUAACUUCAGGAAACUGGGGCUAAUACCGGAUAGGAGCUCCUGCUGCAUGGUGGGGGUUGGAAAGUUUCGGCGGUUGGGGAUGGACUCGCGGCUUAUCAGCUUGUUGGUGGGGUAGUGGCUUACCAAGGCUUUGACGGGUAGCCGGCCUGAGAGGGUGACCGGCCACAUGGGGACUGAGAUACGGCCCAGACUCCUACGGGAGGCAGCAGUGGGGAAUAUUGCACAAUGGGCGGAAGCCUGAUGCAGCAACGCCGCGUGCGGGAUGACGGCCUUCGGGUUGUAAACCGCUUUCGCCUGUGACGAAGCGUGAGUGACGGUAUGGGUAAAGAAGCACCGGCUAACUACGUG
rnacentral:rRNA from 1 species